CAGCAGCAGCCGCGGGAAUACGAAGGGGGCUAGCGUUGUUCGGAAUUACUGGGCGUAAAGCGCACGUAGGCGGAUAUUUAAGUCAGGGGUGAAAUCCCAGAGCUCAACUCUGGAACUGCCUUUGAUACUGGGUAUCUUGAGUAUGGAAGAGGUGAGUGGAAUUCCGAGUGUAGAGGUGAAAUCCGUAGAUAUUCGGAGGAACACCAGUGGCGAAGGCGGCUCACUGGUCCAUUACUGACGCUGAGGUGCGAAAGCGUGGGGAGCAAACAGGAUUAGAGACCCCUGUAGUCCCUGUCUCUUAUAC
rnacentral:rRNA from 1 species